rnacentral:misc_RNA from 1 species
UUGUGGAGGAGGACGCCGAAGGUGGGGCUAAUGACUGGGGUGAAGUCGUAACAAGGUAGCCGUACCGGAAGGUGCGGCUGGAUCACCUCCUAACAGGGAGGCAACAAAAUGUUAAAUAUUAAUUUUGUCACCUUAGGUCGAUCGGUAUCUCACAUUCUUAUUCAUUUAAGGAUUUUAUUUCCUAAGUUUUUUUCUAGGUCACACCCAUUACUUUUCCUGGGCCAUUAGCUCAGGUGGUUAGAGCGCACCCCUGAUAAGGGUGAGGUCCCUGGUUCAAGUCCAGGAUGGCCCAUAUCUCUAUGUUGGGGGUAUAGCUCAGUUGGUAGAGCGCCUGCUUUGCAAGCAGGAUGUCAGCGGUUCGAGUCCGCUUACCUCCACUGAUUACCACCUCUUUCAUAAUUUAAAAAAGGGAAAUGUUUUGAGUUUUGAUCUUGUUCUGAACGAAUCUAGCUUCCUAAUUAACCCUAUUAAGAUGCUGGACUCAUUGAAUAAAUUUCAUUGUUUUCAGAGAACCUUGACAACUGCAUAGAUUAUUUUAAAAGACAAUAAGCAUCUUUAAUGAUGCAGAUUUUUUAUUUGUGCAAAAGCAUUAAUAACAAUUCUAUUAAGCUGAUGCUUCAAUUUUGAAGUUAUUGGUCAAGCUACAA